CACUGUAUGUGAAAAAGAAAAUAUACUAUAUGAUAUACGUUAAUUUACUAUUUACAUUCAUGCUUUAAUAACAAUGGGUACCGAUUUUCCUUUCGAAAAUUGAUAGCGUUUUGCUUUCUCUAAUAAUUUCUGGCAAAGAGUUCCAUAUGACAGGUCCGUCAUACAUGAAACUCUUUUUUAAACUGUUCGAACGUGGCUUUGGCAACCGUAAUGUGGUUGAGCUGUCACGGAGAUUAUGAUUUAAUAUUUCAUUUUUUUUGAAAAUGAAUAAGUCUUUGAGGCAAUUUGGCCCCAUAUUAUGAAAUAUCUUAAACAUCGUUAUCGCUUUAGUUUUUAAUCGUUGUUCUUUUAAUGUUUUCCAUCCUAAUAAAUCCAAUACAGUUUGCUGAUCAACAUCGUUCGGUACACUUGCUAUGAUGCGAGCUGCUCUGUUUUGAAGCUUUUGCAGACGUUUAGAUUGGGUUUCGCCAAAUACAUCCCAUACAUCACAACAAUAACUGAAAUAGGGUUGGAUCAAAGCAUUGUAUACCGAUAUGAGUGUUUUAAUAUCAACAAACGUUUUAAUUUCUUUGAGGGCAUAUAUCCCAGAUGAUAUUUUACUACAUAUACUCUCAGUGUUACUUUUCCAAGAAAGAUUUUCAACCUCUGAGGCUUCAAUUUGUAAAAUACGCUACAAAAAGAUGCUGCGACACACUGAUUUUGGCCACUAAAUCUUUCAACAUGGGCGUUUGAAUUUUGAAGACGAACCGAGUUUAAUUAUUAAAUAUAUCAUAGUC